UUUCAGCUCUUCCGCUUCAUGUCUCCUCCAAGUUUUCUCCGUGAGCUCUUCUCACGUCUCUUGCUCGGCUGACGUUGCAACCGGCUUCAGCUCCCACUGUGCUUAUGAACCACUCGGAUUCUCAGCCUCAACAAGCAUCUUCAAGCUUCACCAAUACAAUGUCGAAGAAGGAUUGAAUUCAUCACCUUUCACAACACCAUCUCCACACCGUUGUCUUCAUUGCUUCUUCCAGAAGAUCUCCACGUCUACUUGGAUGCACCUGAAGCCCUCCUUCUCUAAGGCUCUUCUCUUCUUUUGUCUUGAGCACAGGUCCACUCAAGAUUUAAAUCUCUUGCCUUGAGCUCAGGUCCACUCAAGGCUCCAAGAUCAAGUAAGCUCUGAUACCAUGUUGCAUUUUUAGGUUCUUCCUCUAUUUAACCUUUAGAGGUUCACCAUCUCUCACACUCUCUUUAGUAUCUCUCUGUUUCUUUUGUUGUUGAAACAGAGAUUACCUUGUUCUCUCUUUACUCUCUUUGAUUGUUACACAAACGUUUAGUAAGAGAGAAGAGAGAAACAAUUAAUUGUCUACAUCUUGUUUAUUGGAUCAAAGGAUACUUUUCUUA